UCCCUGGUGGCUCAGAGGUUAAAGCGUCUGCCUAGAAUGCAGGAGACCUGGGUUUGAUCCCUGGGUUGGGAA
rfam:Ovis aries breed Texel chromosome 6, whole genome shotgun sequence.